GGCCAGCAGCCGCGGUAAAACGUAGGAGGCGAGCGUUAUCCGGAUUUACUGGGUGUAAAGCGCGUGCAGGCGGUUGGCGAAGUUGGGUGUGAAAGCUCCUGGCUCAACUGGGAGAGGUCGCUCAAAACUGGCCGACUGGAGAGUGGUAGAGGAAGGUGGAAUUCCGGGUGUAGUGGUGAAAUGCGUAGAUAUCCGGAGGAACACCAGUGGCGAAAGCGGCCUUCUGGGCCACAUCUGACGCUCAGACGCGAAAGCUAGGGUAGCAAACGGGAUUAGAGACCCCGGUAGUCCUAGCCGUAAACGAUGUGAACUUGGCGGCGGGCGGGUAAAACCGCUCGGUGUCGAAGCUAACGCGAUAAGUUCACCACCUGGGGACUACGGCCGCAAGGUUAAAACUCAAAGGAAUUGACGGGGGCCCGCACAAGC
rnacentral:rRNA from 1 species